rnacentral:piRNA from 1 species
UGGGUGUCUUCAGAUGCUGAAACUACCUGA